rfam:Triticum aestivum genome assembly, contig: Triticum_aestivum_CS42_TGACv1_scaffold_224103_3B
UUAAUACUCCCUCCGUUCGAAAUUACUUGUCGAAAAUGGAUGUAUCUAAACGUAUUUUAGUUCUAGAUACAUUCAUUUUUAAGACAAGUAAUUCCGAACGGAGGGAGUAUAAC